UGGCAGGCUACAGUCCAUGGGAUCGCAAAGAGAUGGAUGUGACUGAGCAGGAGCAAGAGGAGCUGGAUGAUGGUGGAGUACAAGGACAUGUGCUCAUCUUCUGUGAGAACUCCAAAACUGCAAUUCGCUGCUGAACAACCAUUGAACUGGAGAAUGUUGGAUCCCACCAAAAAAAGAUACCCCAUGUCCAUGGGCAAAGUAGAAGCCCUAGCAAGACAGUAGGAGGGGAAAAUCGCAUUUAGAAUCAAACCCCUUACCCGCCAGAGAUGCUUAGAGGACUCAAACAAACUUUGUGUGUACCAGAACCCAGAGACCCCCACAGAGACUGAGCACAGUGGUUCACUUAUAUGUAUAUAUAUAUAUAUAUAUGAAUUCUUUUUUAAUAUUAUUUUCAUUAUGGAUUGGCACAGGAUAUUGGAUAUAGUUUCCUGUGCAAUAAGUAGGACCUUGUUAUUUAUCCAUUCUUUCCGAUCCAGAUUUCUUUCUUUGAAUACCCUUAAAUAAUAACACAACUGCUAUAAAUCAGUAAAUUCAAUAAACUAAUUUGAAAAUGUAA